rnacentral:rRNA from 1 species
AUUAUUUUUUUAUUUAUUUUUAGUAAGAAUGUGGAGGCAGUACCUUUUGUAUCAGGGUUGCUUAAUUAAAGAAGUAAUUUUAUGUUCUCGAUAUUAACUGAGUUAAAUAAUGUAUUAUCUGUUGAAUUAUUGUAUGGAUUUAUUUAGUAGUGAAAGGUUUACGUAGUUAAAGGUAGCUAGUUAUUGGAGUGUGUAAAGUAAAAGGGUUAAGCUUUUUAUUGAUUAAUAGAUUUUUAAUUUAUGUUUGAUAAGUUAGGCUUAAGAUUAGCUAUAUUAAUAAUUUGUUUUAAAGGUUUUAUGCGAAAGGGGUAUUAAUUAUUUUAUGCGAUAAUUUAGUUUGUUAAAAUAAUUUUGUCUAUAAUGAGUAAAUUAGUAUUUAUUUUUUUUUGUAAUGUAUAACUCGAAAUUUGUAGAACAGUUUAUCAAAAACAUUUUUUUAUUUUUAUAAGAUAAGGCCUGCCCAGUGUUUAUAUAAACGGCUGCGGUAUUUUGACUGUGCUAAGGUAGCAUAAUAAUUUGUUUUUUAAUUGGGAACUGGAAUGAAGGGUUUUAUCUGCAAGGGUUGUUAUUUAUAAAACAAAUAACUUGUAUUUGUGGUAAAAAUACCAUAAUUAUAUAAAGGGACGAUAAGACCCUAUAAGCUUUAUUUUAUUAAAUAAUUGGAGUAAGUAUUUAGUAUCUUUUUAUUUUUAUGGAUUUUACUGGGGCAGUAAUAUUAUUUAAUUUAAUAUUUAUUUAACAAAGAUAGAUGAGCAUAAGAUCUUUUUAUUAAGAUAGAUAGUAUAAGUUACUGUAGGGAUAACAGCGCAAUAGUUUUGGAGAGGCCUUAUUGAUAGAAUUGAUUGCGACCUCGAUGUUGAAUUAAGAUUUCUUUUUGUUGCAGAAGGCAAUAGAGAAGGUUUGUUCAACCUUUAAAUUUUUACAUGAUUUGAGUUCAAAUCGGUUUAAGCCAGAUUGGUUUCUAUCUUUUAUUUAUUAUAAUUUAUGUAAGUACGAAAGGGACACGUAAAGUUU